AUAAGGCCGGCACACCCUUCUCUGAGCUCCCUCUCUGUUUGUCUGGGGCUCCUAAGACAUGGGAACUCGAGGAAGUGGAAGCCAAGGUGACGCCUUUAUCUGCAUUUGCACCUGCACCUUAUCGUAUUGUGUUUGUUUGGGUUUCAUCUCUGCCUUGAACUUGCUCAAAAAGGGUAUAAACUGGGAGAGAUGAUGGUGAGGAAUAGGUGCAGGUGAAGGUGCAGAUGAAUGCCACUUUGGCUCUUUGGGUUCACUCACAGAUGCCGCUCUUUGUCACUUGCUUAUGAAAGAACCGUUCAAACGACAGACCCAUCAACAAAUUGCUAUGGUGUCGCUUCUUGUAAGAUAAUGAGAACUCACUCUCCUAACGUUUUUAUGGGGCUUCUCAAGGCAAAGAUCUCUCCAUGUCUUUUUAGUUACAGUCUAGCCUAGACUUCUACACAUGGUAGCUUCUGAAGGGCUGUUCAAACAACAGAUCCAUCAACAAAUAUGACCUUUUCAAGGUAAAGAUCAUAUCUCUCUUUACUACUCUCAAGCCUGAAGUUCACCACAUGCAUGAUAUAUUCAAUUACAGUUCUAUUCUACUGAUUUUACUUAGCCAAAAAAAACAACAGAUCCCCCCGAUCCCGUGAAGCAUAGAUAUUUAAUGUGGGACUUGGUUACCAUCACAGAAUGCUUAGAACUUGUUGGUUUUUUUCCAGCCACGUACUUUGUGAGCAUACUUCAACUCAUAAUUUUCCUUACCUUCUUAUUCUCUUCUUCUUCUUUCCCUUCGCUUUCUUUUACUAAUUAAGCAAGCAGAUGGAUGGAAAUAUUCUAGCCUCGAAAUCAAGCGCUUAUUCCAUUCAAAGGCUUUUGAUAGACCUGUCUUCACGAGCAUAGUGCAGUUACUGUACUUGAUCAGGUAUGCCAGUACAGGCUUCUUUGUUUUGCGGGAAUUGCAUACACUUUUUCAUGCAUGAUAUAAUUAAAAGUAAAGUUGAGAAUCUUUACUAAAAAUUUGGAAAGAAAUGUUAUGAUUGUAAGCCAUUCUUAUUGAAAAUGAAAUCAAAAGGGUGACACAGGUGCCUCUUAACCAAAACCCUAAAGAAGCAAACGAUGAGCUCCAAAACCCCUUGUUCUACGAUUUGUGUACUCUCUCUUUUGGAUGGAAGACUACAAACUGAUUAACUAGUACAACGCAAUAUCAUGCAUAGUUGGCUACUUAGGGUAACAGUUGUAACAGUUUCUGAUAAGAGAUCGCCAAUUCUCUUCAGAGAAUCA